rnacentral:rRNA from 1 species
CAGUAGCCGCGGUAAAACAGAGGGUGCGAGCGUUAAUCGGAUUUACUGGGCGUAAAGCGUGCGUAGGCGGCUUCUUAAGUCGGAUGUGAAAUCCCUGAGCUUAACUUAGGAAUUGCAUACGAUACUGGGAAGCUAGAGUAUGGGAGAGGAUGGUAGAAUUCCAGGUGUAGCGGUGAAAUGCGUAGAGAUCUGGAGGAAUACCGAUGGCGAAGGCAGCCAUCUGGCCUAAUACUGACGCUGAGGUACGAAAGCAUGGGGAGCAAACAGGAUUAGAUACCCCGGUAGUCCCUGUCUCUUAUAA